UACAGAGGUCCCAAGCGUUGUCCGGAUUUAUUGGGCGUAAAGAGCGUGUAGGCGGCUAGGUAGGUCCGUUGUGAAAACUCGAGGCUCAACCUCGAGACGUCGAUGGAAACCAUCUAGCUAGAGUCCGGAAGAGGAGAGUGGAAUUCCUGGUGUAGCGGUGAAAUGCGCAGAUAUCAGGAAGAACACCCGUGGCGAAGGCGGGUCUCUGGGCCGAUACUGACGCUGAGGAGCGAAAGCGUGGGGAGCGAACAGG
rnacentral:rRNA from 1 species